AGAACGAACGCUGGCGGCAUGCCUAAUACAUGCAAGUCGAACGAAGGCUUCGGCCUUAGUGGCGCACGGGUGCGUAACGCGUGGGAAUCUGCCCCUUGGUUCGGAAUAACAGUUGGAAACAACUGCUAAUACCGGAUGAUGACGAAAGUCCAAAGAUUUAUCGCCAGGGGAUGAGCCCGCGUAGGAUUAGCUAGUUGGUGAGGUAAAGGCUCACCAAGGCGACGAUCCUUAGCUGGUCUGAGAGGAUGAUCAGCCACACUGGGACUGAGACACGGCCCAGACUCCUACGGGAGGCAGCAGUAGGGAAUAUUGGACAAGUGGGACGAAAGGCCUAGGAUCCAGCAAUGACCGCGUGAGUGAUGAAGGCCUUAGGGUUAGUAAAGUCUCUUUUACCCGAGAUGAUAAUG
rnacentral:rRNA from 1 species